UACGUAGGGUGCAAGCGUUAAUCGGAAUUACUGGGCGUAAAGCGUGCGCAGGCGGCUUUGCAAGACAGAUGUGAAAUCCCCGGGCUUAACCUGGGAAUGCAUUUGUGACUGCAUGGCUGGAGUGCGGCAGAGGGGGAUGGAAUUCCGCGUGUAGCAGUGAAAUGCGUAGAUAUGCGGAGGAACACCGAUGGCGAAGGCAGUCCCCUGGGCCUGCACUGACGCUCAUGCACGAAAGCGUGGGGAGCAACAGG
rnacentral:rRNA from 1 species